rnacentral:lncRNA from 1 species
UUCCCUGAUUGCCUACCUAGCACUGCUCUCGAGUACUCGUCUCCCACUGCUGCUGUACUUCCAAAGAAGUUGCCACAUUUGCCUGAAGAACAGAUAAGGCAAGUGAAAAUGAUACCUUGCAGCACGUGAAGAUAACGUGCAGAAGAAACAAGCAGAGAAGAAUGUAGCCUGCACAGUCAACUCAGCAGAAGGAUUCUGAGAUGAGGAACUCGAAAAGAUGCCACAUCUGCCUGAGGAACAGAUAAAGGAAAUGAAAAUGAUACCUUGAAGCAUGUGGAGACAAGUGCAACAAAGCACGUGCUGAUUCAUCCGCUACUUCUUCAAAAUCAAAAGUAUCUCAUAUCAUCAGGGUUGCAAUCACUCUGGACAGUGAACUCAUUUUGACCCUCAAAUUCUUGGGUCGACUUACUAGGCGUUGUGGGCUGCACGUGCUGAUUCACCACCCUUGAAUCAAAUCCUUAAAGAUCAAGUCACCAACUGGAAGAAGAGCUCAUCAAUCUUGAAGAUCAUACCGUUGACCAAACUGCUCAGGUGUGAAUUAGAAAGAUUGAACAGAGCAACAAUUCGUCAACUUCACCUCGUGCCUGCUAGUCAUGUGUUCGAGUCAACCUUCAAGAAUCAAGCCUCAACGUCCUUUGAAGAAGUUUCCAGCCAAAUUCAAGAUCAAGCCUCAACGGCCAUUGAGGAAAUCACAAGUCCGAUUCAAGAUCAAGUGUCUACCACCCUUGAAUCAAAACCUAGUUCAAGAAUAAGCUGUGGAAAAUCAACAAUUGGAGGAAUCCAGAAAAUCCUCCAACCCAGUUCAAGAUCAAAGCUGUGGAAAGUCAACAAAGCGCAAAAAACAAAUACGUGCCGAUUCAUCCACUACCAAAGCCAAAGAUCAUCUACCACAUGAAGCUCCUUGUGGUCCAAUUUCAACCUUCAAGAUCAAGCCUCGACGGCCCUUGAAGAAAUUUCAAACAAAAGUUCAAGAACAAGCCUCAACGGCCCUUAAAGAAAUUUCAAACAAAAGUUCAAGAACAAGCCUCAACGGCCCUUGAAGAAAUCUCAAGCCCAAUUCAAGAUCAAGCCUCAACGGCCUUUGAAGAAAUUUCCAGCCCAAUUCAAGAUCAAGCCUCGAUGGCCCUUGGAUCGACAUCUACAAUAAGGGACUUCAAAACGCAUCUCCUACACGCGACAAGCACAUGUAUACAACGCGCCUUGAAGUGGGGGCAUUUGUAGACAUCGAAAUUUCGGUAAAUAAAUGUUGACCGAUAAAUCAAAGUGUCAACGCUCAUGUAUUACAUAAAUUUUACACGUAGCAUGUGACUCGACGAAAAAUUGAAAUGAGUUGGAAAAGUCAUCAAACAGGACACGUGUCAACACCUGGCAGAAACGACUUAUUUCAUCUGGGAUAUUAUAUUCAAAAUUAGGUCUUGGAAAUUUCUAUAAAUAGAAGGCUAAUUCAUUCAUUUCAAAGAACCAAUUCAUAUUACACCUUGAAGCUCUGAAGCUCUGAAACUCCGAAGCUCUCAAGUAUCCAGGUUCCCGAAGAAUCAAGAAAGCCUUCUUCAUUCUUCGUUCAUCGUUCUUCCAAGAUCAAGCCCCGACGGCCCUUAAAGAAAGUGUUCUUCGUUCCUCGUUCAUCGUUCUUCCAAGAUCAAGCCCCGACGGCCCUUGGAUCAACAAUCACUAACUCAAGAUCAAGCCCAGACGGCCCUUGGAUCAACAAUCACCAACUCAAGAUCAAGCCCCAAUGGCCCUUUGGAUCAAAAAUCAUCCACCAAUUCAAAAUCAAGCCCCAAAGGCCCCUUGAAGAACUUCCACCAAUUCAAGAUCAAGCCCCGACGGCCCUUGAAGAAAGCACCAUCGUUCAUCAUCCGUUCAUCUUAAGAUCAAGCCCCAACGGCCCUUUGGAUCAACAACGUCGACAAAUCCACACAUCCAACCAUUAUUCAAGAUCAAGCCUCGACGGCCCUUGAAGAAAACAUCACCAAAUCCACACAACAGUUCAUCAUAAGAUCAAGCCUCAACGGCCCUUUGGAUCAACAAUAUCAACAAAUCUACACAACAUUUCUUCAAGAUCAAGCCCAAAAGCCCUUGAAGAUCUGCUCAACUAUUCUUCAAAAUCAAGGUCAAAAGCCUUUGAAGAUCCGUUCAUCCUAAGAUCAAGCCUCGAUGGCCCUUUGGAUCAACAACCCAUCAACAAAUCUACACAACUAUUCAUCCAAGAUCAAGCAUCGAUUGCCCUUUGGAUCAACAAUCAUCCACCAAUUCAGGAUCAAGCCCCGACGACCCUUAAAGAACGUUCAUCCAAGAUCAAGCCUCGACGCCCCUUGGAUCAAUCACAUAUCCACAAAUACACACCUUACGGAGAUCGAAUCAGAGGAUCAAAUUUGAGAGAGAUUGUAACCCAAAAUCAUCAAAUACAAAUAUUUGUUUGUGCACGUUGUUCUUGUCUCUUUCGUGUGGGAAUUUUCUGUGUUCACAUCCUCAUCCAAGAAAUCGAUGGAACUAAGAAGCAAGGAAUGAAGGCCCUCUCCUUGGGUGAUUAGCCUUUGCUUAUGCAAAGAGGAAUCAACAAAGGUAUAAAAUAUCUCGACUCACUAUGUUCUUGAGUU